rnacentral:rRNA from 1 species
UCCGUUAAUUGAUUAUGACGUGCUUGCACUGAAUGAGAUUUUAACACGAAGUGAGUGGCGGACGGGUGAGUAACACGUGGGUAACCUGCCCAGAAGCAGGGGAUAACACCUGGAAACAGAUGCUAAUACCGUAUAACAGAGAAAACCGCCUGGUUUUCUUUUAAAAGAUGGCUCUGCUAUCACUUCUGGAUGGACCCGCGGCGCAUUAGCUAGUUGGUGAGGUAACGGCUCACCAAGGCGAUGAUGCGUAGCCGACCUGAGAGGGUAAUCGGCCACAUUGGGACUGAGACACGGCCCAGACUCCUACGGGAGGCAGCAGUAGGGAAUCUUCCACAAUGGACGCAAGUCUGAUGGAGCAACGCCGCGUGAGUGAAGAAGGGUUUCGGCUCGUAAAGCUCUGUUGUUAAAGAAGAACGUGGGUGAGAGUAACUGUUCACCCAGUGACGGUAUUUAACCAGAAAGCCACGGCUAACUACGUGCCAGCAGCCGCGGUAAUACGUAGGUGGCAAGCGUUAUCCGGAUUUAUUGGGCGUAAAGCGAGCGCAGGCGGUCUUUUAAGUCUAAUGUGAAAGCCUUCGGCUCAACCGAAGAAGUGCAUUGGAAACUGGGAGACUUGAGUGCAGAAGAGGAUAGUGGAACUCCAUGUGUAGCGGUGAAAUGCGUAGAUAUAUGGAAGAACACCAGUGGCGAAGGCGGCUGUCUGGUCUGUAACUGACGCUGAGGCUCGAAAGCAUGGGUAGCGAACAGGAUUAGAUACCCUGGUAGUCCAUGCCGUAAACGAUGAUUACUAAGUGUUGGAGGGUUUCCGCCCUUCAGUGCUGCAGCUAACGCAUUAAGUAAUCCGCCUGGGGAGUACGACCGCAAGGUUGAAACUCAAAAGAAUUGACGGGGGCCCGCACAAGCGGUGGAGCAUGUGGUUUAAUUCGAAGCUACGCGAAGAACCUUACCAGGUCUUGACAUCUUCUGCCAACCUAAGAGAUUAGGCGUUCCCUUCGGGGACAGAAUGACAGGUGGUGCAUGGUUGUCGUCAGCUCGUGUCGUGAGAUGUUGGGUUAAGUCCCGCAACGAGCGCAACCCUUAUUACUAGUUGCCAGCAUUCAGUUGGGCACUCUAGUGAGACUGCCGGUGACAAACCGGAGGAAGGUGGGGACGACGUCAAAUCAUCAUGCCCCUUAUGACCUGGGCUACACACGUGCUACAAUGGAUGGUACAACGAGUCGCGAAACCGCGAGGUUUAGCUAAUCUCUUAAAACCAUUCUCAGUUCGGACUGUAGGCUGCAACUCGCCUACACGAAGUCGGAAUCGCUAGUAAUCGCGGAUCAGCAUGCCGCGGUGAAUACGUUCCCGGGCCUUGUACACACCGCCCGUCACACCAUGAGAGUUUGUAACACCCAAAGCCGGUGG